rnacentral:rRNA from 1 species
GACGAACGCUGGCGGCGUGCCUAAUACAUGCAAGUUGAGCGAUGAAGAUUGGUGCUUGCACCAAUUUGAAGAGCAGCGAACGGGUGAGUAACGCGUGGGGAAUCUGCCUUUGAGCGGGGGACAACAUUUGGAAACGAAUGCUAAUACCGCAUAACAACUUUAAACAUAAGUUUUAAGUUUGAAAGAUGCAAUUGCAUCACUCAAAGAUGAUCCCGCGUUGUAUUAGCUAGUUGGUGAGGUAAAGGCUCACCAAGGCGAUGAUACAUAGCCGAACUGAGAGGGGGAUAGGCAACAUUGGGACUGAGACACGGCCCAAACUCCUACGGGAGGCAGCAGUAGGGAAUCUUCGGCAAUGGAAGAAAGUCUGACCGAGCAACGCCGCGUGAGUGAAGAAGGUUUUCGGAUCGUAAAAAUCUGUUGGUAGAGAAGAACGUUGGUGAGAGUGGAAAGCUCAUCAAGUGACGGUAACUACCCAGAAAGGGACGGCUAACUACGUG